rnacentral:tRNA from 1 species
AGGCAGGUAGCUUAGGGGAUAAAGCAUUAGAUUCCGAUUCUAAAGAUCAAGGGUUCAAAUCCCUUUCUGCCUA